rnacentral:rRNA from 1 species
GACGAACCGAGCGAACGUUGUUCGGAAUCAUUGGGCGUAAAGCGCGCGUAGGCGGCCCGGUAAGUCCGUUGUGAAAGUCGAAGGCUUAACCUUCGAAAGCCGAUGGAUACUGCCGGGCUAGAGUACGGAAGAGGCGAGUGGAAUUCCUGGUGUAGCGGUGGAAUGCGCAGAUAUCAGGAGGAACACCAAUAGCGAAGGCAGCUCGCUGGGACGUUACUGACGCUGAGGCGCGAAAGCGUGGGGAGCGAACAGG